AUGUUAUUUUGUGUUUUGACUGAUUAUAUUCUCCCUAUCUAUUUAAUUGUUCUUUACAUAAUGAGUAUGAAAAAAGGAUUGUUGAGAGGGACUCACAAGAGGCACCUGAAGAUGAUUUCUAGUCAUCAAUCUGAUAACAUCAUCUUCUUAGAUGUUGUUGGAGGAGUGGACAAGAAGGGUCAUAUUUAUGGUUUGGGAACAGAAGCAACAAAAUACAAGUCAUCUAGAUCUUCCAUAUUUAAUGGUAUCUCACCAUCUGAAUAUGAAUAA